rnacentral:rRNA from 1 species
UACGUAGGGUGCAAGCGUUAAUCGGAAUUACUGGGCGUAAAGCGUGCGCAGGCGGUUUUGUAAGUCUGUCGUGAAAGCCCCGGGCUCAACCUGGGAAUUGCGAUGGAGACUGCAAGGCUUGAAUCUGGCAGAGGGGGGUAGAAUUCCACGUGUAGCAGUGAAAUGCGUAGAGAUGUGGAGGAACACCGAUGGCGAAGGCAGCCCCCUGGGUCAAGAUUAACGCUCAUGCACGAAAGCGUGGGGAGCAAACAGG